GAGCUUUGGGUUUAAAGUUUAGGAUUUAUUAUUUAAAGUUUAUGAUUUUAUGAUUUAGUAUUUAUAGUUUAGAGUUUACGGUUUAAAAUUUAGGAUUUUGACUUUAGUAUUUUAGAGUUUAGAGUUUUGUAGGCGGCGUUAAUGUCGGUGUUGUUCUUUUUCCAGCUAUUUUUUUAAUUUUUUUAUUUUUUAACUAAUCAUAAAAUGACACGUUGGUUGAUUAUAAAAAGAAAAAAUCCAUAUGAUAGCA
rnacentral:lncRNA from 1 species